rnacentral:snoRNA from 1 species
GGGAUAUGAGGAGUGAAUUGGGCUCGCUAUGAUGUGAGUUGGGUGCUCUUUCCAAAGCCUGGUUACGACAAUGGAGCAUUCUCCUAUUUCUUAUCUGAUCCC